UUUAUUUUUUUAUUUUAUUUUUUUUUUUUUACACUUGUGCCUGGUUUUCGCAUUUUACAUGUACAUCUAUUCAUUUAGCAGACGCUUUUAUCCAAAGUGACUUACCAAUGAGGAAAUACAAGCAAAACGAUAUAUCAAGCGGAGACCAAUACAAGUGGUGCUACCAUACGAGAUCUUUUAAUUGAGUUCUAGAAAAGCAAAGUGCACAGAGUAGAGGUGCAAGUGCCAGAUUGCUGCUGAAACCCGCUGAACAGCAGGUGACAAGUCUGCAAGUGAAUAAUCCUAAAAUAAUAUCAUUUAAAAUCUCAUUCUAAUCACAUAACAUUCACUGCUUGAAAUUUUGACCCAUGAGACCACAGUGUUUUUAAUUAUACACGUGCGAUUCACAGGAGCUGCUGUGAUGCGCAGGAUGGCACAAUGCACUGGUCAUCUCAGCCAGAGUCCAGUGAACCUUCACCCUCCAGAAACACAGGAAACAAGUCACAAAAACAGCAUUCAGAUUUCUCCCGACACCGCUGUAAUGAUCCAGAGCCAUUCAUAUCACUUCCACACCUUUAGUGCUGACACAUAUAUGCAUCUAGAAUGACACAACCAUAAAAUAUAAGAAACUCACUUGUGUUAUUGUAUUCAUGUUUUUUUUUUUUUUGGUCCAACGUAUAGAACAUGACAGGGCCAAAGGCACCAACCACUUCUGUCCUAUUAAAUGUUUGGCCUGUCAAUUAAAAAAUAAAAAUAAAAAAGCACAAAACAAGCACAAAAGUUUCACAUAAGGUCAAAAUCUAUAUAUGCAUAUGCAUGUACAUAUCACUAAGUUUCAAGAUACAUCUUUUGUAACCUUAUUACCUACAUAUCUAAACUGUGGGGAUUUGUUUUGUUUUGAGUUUUUUUUGCUUGCUUGUUUUGGUUUGUGGGGAGGUUUGUUUUCUUUUUGUUUCCUUCUCUUCUCUUCGGUGAUUGAUUCUGUCAUUAAAACUGUACUAAAUCGGUACAACACUAGAUGGCAGCCUGAUUAAUGAGAAUCUCACCCUCUCUGUCAGGCUAAGUCUCUAUAGAAGUGUGCAGGCACACACACACACACAAUUCAAGCCAUUUAUUAACUUCGCACUGUUUUGUCUGCAGACUGCCUACUCAUCUAUUUAGUAAAAAAUAAAAAUUCACUACAUCAGGCAGAGCACAUAACUGCAAGAUAGCACCACAAUGACUUCAUAUUGUUUGUGAUCAAGAUACAUAUAUCACACCAAUGGAUCUUCUGCUCACAUUUAGAGGCAAAAGCAGCAUGAAUGGUGGUCAUGCCCAGAAUAAGUAUGGAUGCCCAUUUAUAAUGGUAAAUGAAAUGAGUAUCUGCUAUUGAUUUAGAAAUGUG